rnacentral:rRNA from 1 species
UACGUAGGGGGCGAGCGUUGUCCGGAUUCAUUGGGCGUAAAGAGCUCGUAGGCGGCUUGGCAAGUCGGGUGUGAAAACUUCAGGCUCAACCUGGAGCGGCCACUCGAUACUGCCAUGGCUUGAGUCCGGUAGGGGACCACGGAAUUCCUGGUGUAGCGGUGAAAUGCGCAGAUAUCAGGAGGAACACCGGUGGCGAAGGCGGUUCUCUGGGCAUUACCUGACGCUGAGGAGCGAAAGUGUGGGGAGCGAACAGG